rfam:Candidate divison MSBL1 archaeon SCGC-AAA261D19 AAA261D19_Contig_12, whole genome shotgun sequence.
GAGAUUGGCAUGCUAGCCAUCUGAUGAAUGACUUGGCUCGAGCGCUGACGAAGGUCGUGGCAAGCUGCGAUAAGCCCGGGCGAGGCGCAUGCAGCCUUAGAACCCGGGAUUACCUAAUGGGAAUCCUGAUAUGGUAAACCCAUAUCGUUCGCAACAGCGAAAGGGAACCCCGUUAAAUGAAACAUCUUAGUAACGGGAGGAAAAGAAAGCAACUGCGAUGCUCUGAGUAAUGGCGAAUGAAAGGAGCCUAUGGCAAACCGAACCCGUUCGGGAAACCGAACUGGGAUGUGGUGUUGUAGGACUCGGUCGCCACCUAACUGAAGAAGUCGAAGCUCACUGGAAAGUGACGCCAGAGAGGGUGAAUGCCCCGUAGACGUAAACCAGAAGGUGCAGGACCGAGUAUCCUGAGUACUGUGCCUUGGAUUUGGCGCAGGAAACUGGGAGUAUCAACUUCCAACCAUAAAUACGUCUCGAGACCGAUAGCGAACGCAGUACCGUGAGGGAAAGUUGAAAAGAAUCCCGAAAGGGAGAUGAAAAGAGUCUGAAAUCAGAUGGUGAUAGUCGGGCACGGCUUGAAAGGUAUGAAUCUCUUUGAAGGAGCUCGUGGCGACACGAUAGUACGAGAAGAGAGAACCAAAGUUGUGCCGUCCGUUUCGAAACACGGGCCAGGGAGUUCAUCUUCGUGGCGAGGUUAAGGAGUCCACCUCCGGAACCGUAGCGAAAGCAACAAGCCCGCAAUCUCGCUAAGAGACGAGGGGCGAGGUAUUAAACUGCCUGGAGUCACGAGGAUGUGACCCGAAACCAGGCGAUCUAGCCCGGGUCAGGGCGAAGCCGAUCCUCGGAUUGGUGGAGGCCCGAACCGGUCCUGUCGUUCAAUACGGUCGGAUGAAUCUGGGCUAGUGGCGAAAGACCCAUCAAGCCUGGCGAUAGCUGGUUCCUCCCGAAGUUGGUCGCAGCCAACCCUGGCGUGAGGUAGCGUGCGGUGUAGAGCACUGAUUGGCGAGUGCGGAGGGAGACCUUCGGCUCCCCUGUCAAACUCCGAAGCCGUGUGCGCUGUAGACCGCCGGAGUAAGGGUGCGGGGGGUAAGCUCCCGCUCCGAGAAGGGAACAACCUAGACUGAGGUUAAGGCCCCUAAAUGCCGGCUAAGUUGUAAACGGAAAGGGAGUCUUUGUUCCGAGACAGCGGGGAGGUAGGCUUAGAAGCAGCCACCCUUUAAACAAAGCGUAACAGCUGACCCGUUGAGAGCGAAGGCCCCGAAAAUGGAAGGGGCUAAGCCGGCUGCCGAUACCUUGGGGCAGGUGAAGUUGAGUAGCCUGAUCUCGUAGGGAGGCGUUCGGCGAAGGUGGAAGUACGGCCGUGAGGUCGUAUGGACUUCGUUGAAAUGAAAAUCCUGGUAGUAGUAGCAGCAAAGUAGGGUGCGAAUCCCUACCGCCGAAAGGGCCCGGGUUCCUCGUCGAUGUUCGUCAGGCGAGGGUUAGCCGGUCCUAAGCCUGUCCUUAACAAGAGGCAGGUAAAAGGGAAACAGGUUAAUAUUCCUGUGCCACCUGAGUACCUGCGGUAACGCAAGCUUGGUCCUUGACACCUUAAGGUACGUCGAGUGGGGCUAUCGCCCCAUUUAACCGUUGAAGCCCGAGGAGAGCCGUAAUGGCGAGAACCGGGUGAAUGCGGGAAUAGCUCCCCGAAAUAGGGGGUUCGACUGAGCCUUGGGGUCCGUGAAAAGAGGGUCAAGACUUGGGAUCUCAGGUGUCCGUACCUAGAACCGACACUGGUGCCCCUAGGUGAGUAGCCUUAGGCGCGUCGGGAGAUCCCAGGCUAGGGAAAUCGGCAAAUUGGUCCCGUGACUUCGGACGAAGGGAUGCCUGCUUCUUGGAGAAGCAGGUCGCAGAGACCGGGGGAGACCGACUGUUUAAUAAAAACGUAGCCAACCGCGAGUCCGUAAGGAUGAGUACGGUUGGUGAAUCCUGCCCAGUAGCGGCUUGUCAAGCUGGGUUACAACCCAGUGAAGCACCGCCAGACGGCGGGGGUAACUAUAACCCUCUUAAGGUAGCGAAAUGCCUUGCCGCUCAAUUGGCGGCCUGCAUGAACGGAUUAACGAGUCUCCCACUGUCCCAGUCUGGGUCCCGGUGAACCUGCUGGCUGGUGCAGAUGCCAGUGACUUCCGGAGGGAAGCGAAGACCCCGUGGAGCUUUACUGCAAUCUGCUGUUGAAGCUUGGUAACUAGCGUAUAGUGUAGGCGGGAGCCGUCGAAGCCAGGUCGCCAGGCCUGGCGGAGGCGCCCAUGUAACACCGCCCGUUAGUUGUCGGGUUUCUAACUGCUCCGGCAGAACCGCAGCAGACGGGCAGUUUCGCUGGGGCGGCAGCCUCUCGAAAAGAUAUCGAGAGGGUCCAAAGGUCGGCUUAGGCGGGUCAGAAAUCCGCCGCAAAGGACAAGGCCAAAAGCCGGCUUAACUGUGUUUUCACUUCUGGAAAACGCAGGGGCGAAAGCCGGGCCUAGCGAACCCCGAGAUCCCUCUUGAUGGGGGUUCGGGAUGACAGAAAAGCUACCCCGGGGAUAACAGAGUUGUCGCGGGCAAGAGCCCGUAUCGACCCCGCGGCUUGCUACCUCGAUGUCGGUUCUUCGCAUCCUGGCCGUGCAGCAGCGGCCAAGGGUAAGGUUGUUCGCCUGUUAAAGCGGAUCGUGAGCUGGGUUUAGACCGUCGUGAGACAGGUCAGACGCUAUCUUCCGGAAGUGCUGGAUGCCUGAGGGUAAGGUAGCCUCAGUACGAGAGGAACAGGCUGUCGGCGCCUCUGGUGUACCGGUUGUCCGAUAGGGCAUAGCCGGGCAGCUACGCGCUGGUUGAUAAGGCCUGAAAGCAUCUAAGGCCGAAGCAACUCCCAAAAAUAGGCAUCCACCUCUUGGCUUACCAAGACGAGAGCGGAGGCUAGAAGACCUCUUUGAUGGACCGGGGGUGUAAGCAUGAAGCUUCGGCGACAUGUUCAGCCCGCCGGCACCAAUAGCUCGAGGUGCUAAAACU